GGCCUCAUAACCCAGCUGCUGCACUGUCCAAUACAGUAGCCACUAACCACAUGUGGCUAUUUAAAUUGAAACUCAUUAAAAUUAAAAUUAAAAAUUCAGUUCCUCAGCAGCACUAGGCACACCUCAAGUGCUCAAUAGCCAGGUGUGGUUAGUGAUGACUGUGUUGGACAGUGCAGAUAUAGAACAUUUCAUCAUCCUAGAAAGUUAUCUUGGACACUGCUAGCCUAAAGUGGGCUUAGAGCUGGACAGACACAGGGGUGGAUCUGGGUUCCACCAGGAUUGGUUUAAUUAUAUGACCUCUGAGUGACUUCCCCUCAUUUAUGAACUGGAAAUCACAAUUUCCUCCCAUCAGAGACUUCUGUAUGGACUUUGGGAUAGACUGACUGGGAUUGGCUCCUGACUGCCACUUUCUAGUUGUGUGCCCUUGAGGCAAAUUACUUAAGCUCUUUGUACUCAGUUUCCUUAUUGGUAUAAUGAAAAUAAUGAUGGUAAUCUUAGGUUGAACCAUGUUGUUUCAUCAUUUUUGACCUUGAAAACAGCUGUUUUCUACAGUUCGAUUCAGUACUUCCUAGGAUUUUGGGGAGGAAUGAAUGUAGGGCCCCCAGAGCUGCAUCUGCACAGAGCACACACUCACGUGUGUGAGCAUCACUGUCUCCAUCAGCCGGGUCCCAGAGGGGCUGCUGCAAGGUAUUUUAGAGUCCCCACCUCACACCGUGAACAAAGGCAGGCAGGCCGCGCUGGGCCUCCCUGGGCUUAGCCUGUAAGGUCCCAUCCAAGGUUCCAGAUGUUCCUUCCUUUCCCGCCCGGCCCUGGGCUCUGCAUGCUUCCUCUGCCUGAACACAGAUUCACCAGGGACUCACCUCCUGCUCUGCCCUGGGGCUGGGCUCUGUUGGGGGUAGGCAGGGUCUUGGAAGGACCUCUUUGCCAUCUCCACAGUCUCCACCGCGGUCCUAGCCAUCAUCCUCUCCCAUCUAGACAGCUCUUACUUCCACUGCUGUCCUCUUCCCAUUCGUUCUCCACAGGGCUGCUGGAGUGAUCUUUUUAGCAUAAAAAUCAGACCAUGCCACCGCUGAUUCAAAUGUUCUAAUGGCUUACCCUGGGGCGACACACCUCUCUGCUCUCACCUUAUGCGUGAUCCUCCUUGCCUCCUGCCUCCACUGGCCUUCCUUUUCCUGAGCACCCACGGUCUUUCCUGCCUCAGACCCUAUGCUGUUGCAGUGCCUGGAAUGCCACCCCCAUGCCCUCUGCCUGGGUGGCUCCUUCCUAUUCUCCAACAGGCUUCCCUGAUCCCUGUGCCUAGAGUGGCAUCCCUUGCCCUGUUUAUUUCCUUCAUUUUCCUUAUCAUAAAUUGUGAGUCACUGCACUGUGUAUGUACUUGGGUAACAGAAUGUUUAAAUGUGACUCGUUCUGUCUCUGUGAGGCCCCUGAGUCCAAGGACUAACCAGCAGGGAAGGGCUCCUCCACAUUUCAAAGCAGGGCGCUGGUUGGCCUGUGCAGGACUUGCAAAGGAGGUGUAUGAACACCGGUUUUGUGGCUUUUAUGCUGUCCCCCAUCUUGAGGCUAUAAAGGGAUUGAAUUUGAGGAGCGAGAGAGAAUUUUCCUUUGGAGACAUUUGCAGAAAUACUGGGCACGUCCCUCCCAACACCAUGGGGCUCCUCCUUUGCUAGUUUAAUUCUAGGGAGAAAGGUCUUAGGAGGAGGGCUUAACUGUGUGUCCUGGAGUCAUGGCUGGGGUUUGACACCUGCCUGAAGAGCAGUGUCCUGAGAGCACGGAGAGAGGGGCGGAAUCUGGAAUCUGCACCGCCUCAACAGUAGGGCGAAGCUGCUAGUCUUCUGGAGGCUGCUUAAAAGGGACCUGCCCCAAGACAGGGUGGGGAGGGGUGAAGGAGUGGGCCCGAUGCUCCCAGGCAGAGAGGGUUAGAGCUGGGAGCCACUGGCCAGAGAAUUUUCCAGAUCACAGAGUUGGCAGCAGAAUCUCUCUCUGAAACCAGGAAAGCACCCAAGGGGAGAGAGAGAGAGAGAGCUUCCGGCCCCUUGAGGACUGAACUGUUCAGGGGAUGUAGACUCACCACCCCUUUUUCCCUCCUCCUUCAGCUUAACCCCCAAGGAGCAGAAACCCAAGCUGGGAAGGAGGAGCCCCAGAAAGAGGGAGAAGGAGACUGCACUCUCUUCUCCCGCCAGAGGCCUCAAGCAGUUCUGAGCUGAAGGAAUAGAGCAGCUUCCUUGUGAGCAUUCCCCUAAUAUGUCACCUGCACCUGAAUGCAGGGCUCGGAUUCGGCUUCUGGUGGACCUGGCUGAAUCAGUCAAUAUCAGCUGGAUGAAUGAAGAACUUUUACUGAGAGGCUUUCUGGGACUCUGGAAUGCAUGGCCCAAGGAAACAUUGGGCCACGUGGAAGAAAGUCCUUCUAGGGUUAGAUUAGAUGUCCUCUUUCAGGUGAUGUACAGGCUGAGGACUUUAGGAAUUGUGGGCUAUUGCUCCUACUUGUCAUGUACUUGGAGGGCUAGGAGGAUGGAAGGGUAAGUUUUAUCAUUGUUCACCUCAUUGGCUCAUCCGGGCUGGCCUAGAUGUGCUUGUCAUGAACAGGAAGCCUGUGAAGGGAAGUGUGUGUGUGUGUGUGUGUGUGUGUGUGUGUGUGUGUGUGUCUCACGUACCUGGUUCGGGAGUCCAGGAAGGCCUUGUUGACUUGGACCUUGGCCUGACUCACAGUAUCGGAGAUGGCAGAGGUUCUGGUAGUCUGCGCUUGGGGUUGGAGUGGGGAGCAGGAAGUAGGGUGUCAGACACCACUCCUUUGCGAUGUCUUCUGCUUUUGUCUCCCUCUUUCUCGGCCAUUACCCCCACCCCUCAAAUCUGGGUAGGCAGGAGAUCAAGAUUAGGAAAGUUUCAUAAGAGUCCUUAAGGGGAAAAAGCACAGAAUGGGAAGAAUACUCUUGGAUCUUCAACAAGAUGUCAAAAUUGCUCUUUGAGAUCUCACUAGAAUGCCCAGAGAUGGGAUGAAGAGGGAGUGUGGCCACUCAGGGUGGCUUGGGCUACUGGACUGUGGGGAUUUCUCUGGUUCCUGGUGAGAUGGUCUUGUGGACUAUCUCAAGUUCAUCAAAGAGGACCCACUGAUCACCAGGACCCUGACGUACAGAAGGGGAUGGCAUGAGAGUAAUGGUGGGAUUCCCUGUUCCCUCUUGUAUUGGGGUCUGGAGCAUGGAGGACAGGAUCUGUUUUCUCAACAAGGAGAGUGUAGUGGGUUAAAUAAUGGCCCUCCCAAAAUUCACAUCUGCAUGGAACCUCAGAAUGUGACCUUAUUUGGAAGUAGGGUCUUUGUAGAUGUUAUGAAUUAAAAUGAGGUCAUACUGCCUUAGCAUCGGCCCUAAAUCCAAUAAAUGGUGGUUUUAUGAGAAGAGGAGAGGACACCCAGUGAAAAAGGCCACGCAAAGACUGAGGCAGAGAUUGGAGUGUUGCAGCUACAAGCCAGGGAACACCAAGGAUACCAGGGCCACCAGAAGCUGGAAGAAGAAAGGAAGCAUUCUUCCCUAGAGCCUUCAGAGGGAGCACAGCCCUGCCAACACCUUGAUUUUGGACUUCUAUCCUCCCGUACUGUGAGAGAAUACAUUUCUGUUGUCUUAGGCCAUCCAGUUGGUGUGCUUUGUGACAGCAGCCCCAGAAAACCCGUAAAGGGAGACACUCACCUCUUGUGGUAGAUGCUGCAGCCUGAAGCAAGAUGAGGGAAGCCAGGAGGGCUGGGAGAUGGAGAAGGACCCUCAUCACUGAAACGAGAUGCAGGAUCACACUGUGAGCCUCUCUAGAGACCAAGUGGGAGGGUUUGAACCACAGAAAGCAGAGAAAGCCAAAGGAGCACCAGACACCCUAAUAUUGGAACAGGAAAGGAGAAACCACAUUAACGAAUGAAGCAUCUACCAUACACACAGGCCUGUGCUAGGUACUGGGAGAGAUGGAAAGAGGAGAAGACAUGGUGGAAGGGAAAGAACUCAGGCUUCAGGAUCUAAGGCCCUGAGUUAUCAUUCUGCAUUUGCUCCAAUAGCUCUGUGACCUUGGGCAGGUUACUUAACAUCUCUGGGGUCCUGGCUUGCUAUGGGAGGAGGUGGGACCAAGUGAUCCAGAAUGUUCAAUUCUGCCCUGACAGCCUGUGGUCGGGAGAUGCUGUACCUGUCUUGUCACAGGUGUGAGAAACGCUGUUACCAAGGCUGGAGCCUGCCUUUGAGUUCCCCUCCCUCCUUCCCUGCAGGAUGCAUUGCUCCCUGCAAGCCAGUUUCCUCUGGCCCAGCCCCAGGAGAGAAUGCCUGAGAGGCAGACACUCAGCGCCUCCCUUCGGAAACCUGGCAGGGGCUUCCCCUUCCCUCAAAGUGCCAACUUGAUGGCAAUACUGAAAGAAAGUUAUGACAAAGCUCAGAGCUCCCCUGAGCCCACAGCUGUGCCCCAGGCUGCCUGGAAAGAUUCCAGCUCAUGGAUUAACCUCUUUGCCAUGAGCUUUAACUCUGAAUGCAAAUCUUUAGACUGAAAUUUGUGAAGCUUUGUUUUCUGAUGAGGGUCUUCACUGGGCUUAGUGGAGCAGACCCCAUACAUCUUCUGAGGAGAUUCUGGCUCCAGCCCGGGGUGGCAGCCACAGCGUGCAGAUGGAAUGAUUGUGUGUUUAGACCAUGGUCCUGAGAGGCUCCUCAGCUUUCACAAGGGCGCCUGUGCUCUCCCUGCAGCACGGCGUUCACUGGUGGAAUCCAGAAGCACACUAAGGAGAGCAGCCUCAGGUUGCCCCCCAGCCAUGUCUCCCCAGGGCUCAGCUCCCAGAGAGAAAUCAUAGUUCUGGAGCUUUGCCUGACAGACUUCCCCGUAUGUCUUGCAGACCCUCUCCAAAUCAUCUCCCUUUGGAAUAGGCCAGACCAGGAGACCUCUGUAUAUGGAUCAGGUCAUUUCAGCCUCCUUCACCCCUGCCUGCCUCCAAUUUUUCCCUCUGCCCUUUCGUGGUCCCCCUAAUAAUUUGUAUCUUGUUGUACUUUUUGCCAGCUAACUCUAGAGAAGGGGCAAGGCAUGAAUAAAUACCUCUCUGGCCAAGAUUCUCUCUGUUACUUCCCCCCACCCCAAGAUGAGUUCUCAAACAGCUUGACCUCUCAGUGGGCUCUUGUCCUUAUAGUUGUAUGGCCCCAAGGAGGAAGAGAUUCUGUGACCUCCUAUCCCUCUGUCACCAUAUUUUGCAACUUCAGGGGACCCAUUGCAGGGUUCAUUGAGUUAGCAGAAAUCUGCCCUUCAGACAAACAGAGAUGAUGGUUUUGGAGGAAAAGGUAUCAUUGACUUUAAAAAACAAACUAUGGUAAAAAACAUGGCCAGGUGUGGUGGCUCAUGCCUGUAAUCCCAGAAUUUUGGGAGGCUGAGGCAGGCGGAUCACUUGAGGUCAGGGGUUGGAGACCAGCCUGGUCAAUGUGGUAAAACCCUGUCUCUACUAGAAAUACAAGAAUUAGCCAGGCGUGGUGGCAGACACCGGCAAUUCCAGCUACUCGGGAGACUGAGGCAGGAGAAUCCCUUGAACCUGGGAGGUGGAGGCUGCAGUGAGCCAAGAUUGCGCCACUGC
ensembl:lncRNA novel transcript, antisense to LPO